GACGAACGCUGGCGGCGUGCUUAACACAUGCAAGUCGAGCGGUAAGGCCCUUCGGGGUACACGAGCGGCGAACGGGUGAGUAACACGUGAGUAAUCUGCCCAUCACUUCGGGAUAACUCCGGGAAACCGGUGCUAAUACCGAAUAUGACCACUUCAGGCAUCUGAUGGUGGUGGAAAGUUCCGGCGGUGAUGGAUGAGCUCGCGGCCUAUCAGCUUGUUGGUGGGGUAGUGGCCUACCAAGGCUUCGACGGGUAGCCGGCCUGAGAGGGUGACCGGCCACACUGGGACUGAGACACGGCCCAGACUCCUACGGGAGGCGGCAGUGGGGAAUAUUGGACAAUGGGCGAAAGCCUGAUCCAGCAACGCCGCGUGAGGGAUGACGGCCUUCGGGUUGUAAACCUCUUUCAGCAGGGACGAAGCGCAAGUGACGGUACCUGCAGAAGAAGCACCGGCCAACUACGUG
rnacentral:rRNA from 1 species